rnacentral:tRNA from 1 species
GCUCUCCAGGAGGACUUCGUCCUCUGGGGCGGCAUAGCCGCUCCAGGAUGGCCUUUGGCCAUCUGGGGAGCA